rnacentral:rRNA from 1 species
CCUACGGGUUGCAGCAGUGGGGAAUACUGGACAAUGGGCGAGAGCCUGAUCUAGCAAUGCCGCGUGAGUGAAGAAGGCCUUAGGGUUGUAAAGCUCUUUCACCGGUGAAGAUAAUGACGGUAACCGGAGAAGAAGCCCCGGCUAACUUCGUGCCAGCAGCCGCGGUAAUACGAAGGGGGCUAGCGUUGUUCGGAAUUACUGGGCGUAAAGCGCGCGUAGGCGGAUAGAUAAGUCAGAGGUGAAAUCCCGGGGCUCAACCCCGGAAUUGCCUUUGAUACUGUUUAUCUUGAGUGCAGAAGAGGUAAGUGGAAUUCCGAGUGUAGAGGUGAAAUUCGUAGAUAUUCGGAGGAACACCAGUGGCGAAGGAGGCUUACUGGUCUGCAACUGACGCUGAGGCGCGUAAGCGUGGGGAGCAAACAGGAUUAGAUACCCGCGUAGUC